rnacentral:lncRNA from 1 species
AUGAAUGACAUGGUAACUAUCCAAACUGGAAAGUUCAUGACCAACCAACUACUUCAGUGAAAACAAAUGGUCAUUGAUGUCCUUCACCCCGGGAAGGCAACACUACCUAAGAGAGAAAUUCGGGAAAAAGUAGCCAAAAUGUACAAGACCACACCAGAUGUCAUCUUUGAGUUCAGAACUCAUUUUGGUGGUGGCAAGACUACUGGCUUUGGCAUAAUUUACGAUUCCUUGGAUUAUGCAAACAAAAAUGAACACAAACAUAGACUUACAAGACAUGGCCUGUGUGAGAAGAAAAAGACCUUGAGAAAGCAAUGAAAGGAAUGUAAGAACGGCAUGAAGAAGGUAGGCAGACAGCAAAGGCCAGUGUUAGUGCUGGCAAAAAGCCAAAGGAG